rnacentral:rRNA from 1 species
GUUGCUGUCCUCUCGGGGGAAUUGUGCACACCUUACCUUUUUUGUUUUUUCCACCUGUGCCCACACUGUAGGUCUGAAGGAGGGGAAGGGGGGGUUUUGUAACCUCCCCUGAAACACUUUCGGGUCCUAUGUAUUUUACACAUACACUAUUAAAAGUAACAGAACGAUUCAGUGGGCUUCCAAGCCUAUAAACUAUAUACAACUUUCAGCAACGGAUCUCUUGGCUCUCGCAUCGAUGAAAAACGCAGCGAAAUGCGAUAAGUAAUGUGAAUUGCAAAAUUCAGUGAAUCAUCAAAUCUUUGAACGCACCUUGCGCUCGUUGGUAUUCCGACGAGCAUGCCUGUUUGAGUGUCAUUAAAUUCUCAACCUCAACACUUUUGUGAUUGAUGGCUUGGAUGUGGAGGUUUUUCUGCAGGCUGUUAAAGUCUGCUCCUCUCAAAUGAAUUAGUGGGUGCCCCGCGCAAACCUAUCUAUUGGUGUGAUAAUUAUCUACCCCGUGGAUUCUAGGAUUGCUGUAAAAAGGUGUUUGCCCUGCUUCUAACUGUCCUCUGGACAACUUGAACCAUUUGACCUCAAAUCAGGUAGGACUACCCGCUGAACUUAAGCAUAUCAU